AUGAACGCUGGCGGCGUGCCUAAUCCAUGCAAGUCGAGCGAACAGACGAGGAGCUUGCUCCUCUGACGUUAGCGGCGGACGGGUGAGUAACACGUGGAUAACCUACCUAUAAGACUGGGAUAACUUCGGGAAACCGGAGCUAAUACCGGAUAAUAUAUUGAACCGCAUGGUUCAAUAGUGAAAGACGGUUUUGCUGUCACUUAUAGAUGGAUCCGCGCCGCAUUAGCUAGUUGGUAAGGUAACGGCUUACCAAGGCAACGAUGCGUAGCCGACCUGAGAGGGUGAUCGGCCACACUGGAACUGAGACACGGUCCAGACUCCUACGGGAGGCAGCAGUAGGGAAUCUUCCGCAAUGGGCGAAAGCCUGACGGAGCAACGCCGCGUGAGUGAUGAAGGUCUUCGGAUCGUAAAACUCUGUUAUUAGGGAAGAACAAAUGUGUAAGCAACUAUGCACGUCUUGACGGUACCUAAUCAGAAAGCCACGGCUAACUACGUG
rnacentral:rRNA from 1 species